rnacentral:rRNA from 1 species
AUUGAACGCUGGCGGCAGGCCUAACACAUGCAAGUCGAACGAGUGGCGGACGGGCGAGUAAUGGCUGGGCAACUGCCUGAUGGAGGGGGAUAACGACUGGAAACGGUAGCUAAUACCGCAUACCAUCGGAUGUGCCCAGAGGGGAUUAGCUAGUAGGUGGGGUAAAGGCUCACCUAGGCGACGAUCCCUAGCUGGUCUGAGAGGAUGACCAGCCAAACUGGAACGGAGACACGGUCCAGACUCCUACGGGAGGCAGCAGUGGGGAAUAUUGGACAAUGGGCGAAAGCCUGAUACAGCCAUGCCGCGUGUAUGAAGAAGGCCUUCGGGUUGUAAAGUACUUUCAGCGGGGAGGCGUUACCCGCAGAAGAAGCACCGGCUAACUCCGUGCCAGCAGCCGCGGUAAUUC